rnacentral:rRNA from 1 species
UACGUAGGGGGCAAGCGUUGUCCGGAAUCAUUGGGCGUAAAGCGCGCGUAGGUGGCCUCGUAAGUCCGCUGUGAAAGUCAAAGGCUCAACCUUUGAAAGCCGGUGGAUACUGUGAGGCUAGAGUACGGAAGAGGCGAGUGGAAUUCCUGGUGUAGCGGUGAAAUGCGCAGAUAUCAGGAAGAACACCCGUGGCUAAGGCGGCUCUCUAGUACGGUACUGACGCUGAGACGCGAAAGCGUGGGGAGCAAACAGG